rnacentral:rRNA from 1 species
AACGAACGCUGGCGGCGUGCCUAACACAUGCAAGUCGAACGGCAGCACAAUACAGGGUAACCUGUAUGGGUGGCGAGUGGCGGACGGGUGAGUAAUGCGUAGGAAUCUGCCUUAAGGUGGGGGGACAACUCGGGGAAACUCGAGCUAAUACCGCAUAAACUUGAGAAAGCAAAGUGGGGGACCUGAAAGGGCCUCAUGCCUUAAGAGGAGCCUACGUCGGAUUAGCUAGUUGGUAGGGUAAAGGCCUACCAAGGCGACGAUCCGUAGCUGGUCUGAGAGGACGACCAGCCACACUGGGACUGAGACACGGCCCAGACUCCUACGGAGGCAGCAGUGGGGAAUAUUGGACAAUGGGGGGCAACCCUGAUCCAGCAAUGCCGCGUGAGUGAUGAAGGCCUUCGGUGUAAGACUCUUUUGUCCAGGACGAUGAUGACGGUACCUGGUAGAAUAAGUACCCGG